rnacentral:rRNA from 1 species
CGAAGGGGGCUAGCGUUGUUCGGAAUUACUGGGCGUAAAGCGCGCGCAGGCGGUCUUCCAAGUCAGUGGUGAAAGCCCGGAGCUCAACUCCGGAACUGCCAUUGAAACUGUUAGACUUGAGGAUGAGAGAGGUGAGUGGAAUUCCCAGUGUAGAGGUGAAAUUCGUAGAUAUUGGGAAGAACACCGGUGGCGAAGGCGGCUCACUGGCUCAUUACUGACGCUCAGGCGCGAUAGCGUGGGGAUCAAACAGGAUUAGAUACCCUGGUAGUCCACGCCGUAAACGAUGAAUGCUAGCCGUUGGGCAGCUUGCUGUUCAGUGGCGCAGCUAACGCAUUAAGCAUUCCGCCUGGGGAGUACGGCCGCAAGGUUG